UGGGGAAUAUUGGACAAUGGGCGCAAGCCUGAUCCAGCAAUGCCGCGUGUGUGAAGAAGGCCUUCGGGUUGUAAAGCACUUUAGGCCGGGAAGAAAAAUGGAACCUAAUACGUUCCGUCUUGACGGUACCGGAAGAAUAAGCAACGGCUAACUCUGUGCCAGCAGCCGCGGUAAUACAGAGGUUGCAAGCGUUAAUCGGAUUUACUGGGCGUAAAGCGUGUGUAGGUGGUUGUUCAAGUCGGUUGUGAAAUCCCCGGGCUCAACCUGGGAACUGCUUCCGAGACUGAACGACUAGAGAUCGGUAGAGGGCGGUGGAAUUUCCGGUGUAGCGGUGAAAUGCGUAGAUAUCGGAGGGAACACCAAUGGCGAAGGCAGCCGCCUGGGCCUGAUCUGACACUGAGACACGAAAGCGUGGGGAUCAAAACA
rnacentral:rRNA from 1 species